UACGUAGGGUGCGAGCGUUGUCCGGAAUUAUUGGGCGUAAAGAGCUUGUAGGCGGUUUGUCGCGUCUGCCGUGAAAAUUCGAGGCUCAACCUCGAACUUGCGGUGGGUACGGGGCAGACUAGAGUGUGGUAGGGGGAGACUGGAAUUCCCGGUGUAGCGGUGAAAAUGCGCAGAUAUCAGGAGGAACACCGGUGGCGAAGGCGGGGUCUCUGGGCAGUAACUGACGCUGAGGAGCGAAAAAGCGUGGGGGGAGCGAACAGG
rnacentral:rRNA from 1 species